AAAAAAAAAAGAAGUUGGUUAUUUAGAAGCAUGUAGUGGAAAGUGUUGGCUUGUUCCUUUUAGGAUCGUGAAAGAAAACAGUAUAGUAAGGCACCUGAUGCAGGGUAAUGAACCUAUAAGUAAAAGGAAAUCUUGCUCAAUGGAGGAAUAAUGAAGUGGAUGGCAUGAAGAUGCUGGCCAAGGGGUGCUGGAGUCCAGGAUCUGCUUAAAGCAGUUCACAUGCUCUGAAUCACUUGCCUUAAUGUUGUGCAUGUGCCCUCUGUAACUCAAAACGGAGCUGCUUUGAAUAACUGAGGAUUUGCAGUUCUUCUCUUAUAAAAAGAGCAAUUGUUGUUGCUGUUGGACUUGAACAGUGCUACAAACUGUUUUCAAACUAUUCUCUAUGUAAGAGUGUGCUUCUCCCAGCUCAUGAUCCGUGCUGAAGGCAAUGGUGGCAUUCUCUGCUUUGGAGAUGACUGCUUUAAAACAAGUUUAUUACUCUGCACCAGUUUGUUUUGGUUACUGCACUUAUCUAAUGUAGGAGCAUUCUUUUUUUUGAAAACAUUUAUCUUCACUGAUGUUUUUUUUUUCUCUGGGUAUGAAGAAAUCAGUAACUGUCCUUUUGAGAAUAAGAACUUAACUGUAAGUUUUCUCCUUUCACAAAAAGCACGAGAUGGCUGUACUGACAAGUAUAAGCAAAACACAUUGUACAAUAUUUCUGCACAAUCAGGCUGUGAGCAAAAACAAUUCCUCACCUUGCCAGUAUGUAGUCACAAAGCAGUGUUUGCAUCUUCAGCAGCCUAAAACAGAUGAAUUCUCAAUACAAUCUGAAGGCUGGUGACAGGAAGAAAGCCUCUGAAAUGGGUAGUUAAUCUUUGGCUCCUGGUAGGGGAUAGACAGAAAUUUCUUAUUGGAAAUCAAAGAUGGAGGCCCUGGCAAUUUGGGGCAAUGAAGUUGUAAGAAAAUUUUCCACAGAAAUUGUAAUAAUUUUUAAACUCAGUAAAAGAGCACAGGGAUAUGGGCAGGAAGAGUGAGAGCAGGAUUUCUCAACAUCCAAGUUAAGGAUUAUAUGAAAUAUUCCCAUGAGAGACUGACCCCUAACCCUUGGAGUUUAAGUUACAAAGGGAAGAGGAACAGAUCUGAGCCUUAUGCCUUCACAGCAUAUCCCACUCUCUCCUAGCUUCUCUCCCACAUGUCAAAAGGACUCGUCAUAAAGACACAGACCUACCUGGAUUUGGGAAGGACACCCAUGACAACAAAUCUGUGCGCUAUUUAGAAUUAAUGGUGUGCAGAAAUGUGUGAAAGAAAACAAGAUACUAAUGGAAACGUCAACCAGAAAUUUCAACUAUAGUAAAGGAGAUCUGAUGAGUAAUUUAUUUAUUGAUUUGGUUUUAAACAGAUUCCUCUUUGUCAGAUUGCUUUCUUGCUCUUCAGCUAUCUGGAUAAGGAAGGAAUGGAAAUCUUAGCGUAGGAAACACCCCACUGUUUUUGCAGCAAACUUGUUUGUGAUUUCUCGCCUUUGAUGAAACUGCUGUUUUUUCUUCUCACCUUGACAAUGUCUCCUCUGAUUAGAGUCCAACAGCAUGGUAAUGGCCUUUACAAGCUGCUGCAGAUGCCAAACAACAACAACAACAACAAAAAAGGUAGAGAAUGUCAAGAGGAGGUGGGGAUGACAGAUAACAACACAAGUGAGGGGAAAAGAAUGAUAAUCUGGCCUCUGGGCAUAAAAGUUUACUUUUAAAAUGAUGAUUUAAAAAGAAGAGGCGUAAAAUUUCACUGGUUUGUAUCUAAUGUAAUUCAAUGUAGCCCUGAGUAAUACAGAGAUAUAUAGCAGCCUACUGUUUUGUUUCCUAUAAGGUGGCGCUUAAAAAAGAGGGAGCAGGAAAAAAAAAGAAAAGGAAAAUGAGCAGUUCUGAUUUAAAUCUAAAUCCGGAACAACAACAUGUUGUGCCUUUUUUUCUUUGAAAAUAUUGUGACCAUGUAUGUCUCCUUAUUUGGCAUGGCUACAUUUCCUGAGGUAUGACUUCAGAGUAUAAGAAUUUUAAACGUCUCCCUUUCAUAUGUCAUGUUCUGUUUCCCUGCUCUGUAAGUUCUGGUGUUGUUGUAAAGCUGUAGAAAGUGACAUGUCUAGCACCUGUCUCAGGCAUAGCCCUGCCCCCCCACCCUUCUGGAAACUUACUGUUAGAAUUUAGGAACAUACUCAUCAUUUUUAAUGCAUCUCUAACAUUAAAAGGAGGGUAAGUUAUCCAGUCCUAUCUCUGUAGUAUUUUUGAGGUUUCGACACUGAGUCCUCAUUUGAACUCAGUGUUUUGAGCCCUUUGUGAGAGGAUUUCUCCUUUAGCUUCCUUACCUGGAAGUAUUCUCUGCUUAACUAGCUCUUUCAUAUCUGCAUUUAUUUCAGGGGAAAAAGAGCUUCAUCUUCCUAAGGAUUUGAAAUCACCUUGAAACUUACACAAGUAAAUUUCAUAACCCUUUUUUUAAAGUAGUAAUUUGUUAUGUCUGUCAGAGAAAAGUGAAGCAAUUGUGCUAUUUUUUUUAAAGUGUAUUUUGUUGUCUAUUGCUCUCUGAGAAGGGAAAAUACUCAUAUUCUUCACAACCAGUCACUAUCCUCUAGGAUGAGUAUUACCUGACAAUAAGACUACUGUGCUCUUUGACAGCAGAAAUAUUAGGGUAACUCACAUUUCAAAAUACCAGGGAUGUUUAGAUCUGGGUUUCCAUUGAAUUUGCACACUUUUCAAAAGAAGUAGUCAUUUAAAUGGAUUUCCCUCAGUUAAAGAAACCCCCCCCAAGUAGCCACUUAAAUGAAUGAUUCUUCACUUCCUUGCACUGGUGCAAUUUCAUUGACACCUGUGAUACUACAGAGGUAUGCAAAAGGAGUAAUACAAGGGGAACACACAACCGUACCUAGUGCUGAUGUCCUCUGCCAUAAUCCAUGUUUUCUCAGAAAGACACAGUGAAGGGACAGUCAACGCUGCCUAAAACAAGUUUGUCAUAAUUUCCUUCCUCUACUGCCUGAAUUUUUUUUCAUGCUUUUGGCCAGAAGUCACUUAAAUUUCAAAGCCUCAAUUAAUGGGGUGGUGGAUUUUGUUUGUAUUGCAGCUGGCAUCCCAGAGAAUUUGCUUGCAGUUAACUUGAUGGCCAGCUUUACUACAAACUGUAUGUCACUGAUAAUAACAAGUGACAAUCUUGCCAUUCCAACAACUUGACAAAUUGACUGGGCUUCAAAAUAAGUCAAUUUCACCUGUCACAACAUGUGGCAGGCUUUUUGAUUUAAAUCCCCAGGAUCAAGCAUUUCUGACAGAGAUCUCAAAGCACACGAGCUGGUAGGCAUACCAGGCAAGUCAGUCUCUUGAUAGAGCAGACAUUUACAGUGCAGAGGAAUGAAGAGUGUGAAGGUGCGAAGUGGCAGCUUUACCUUCCUCUCUAGGGCUGUAUUUGACUUGCCCUUUUGUGCUGCUUUUUCAAAUAAAUCAAUGUUCAGUGCAUUCAAACACUUCAUGUUAAAUAACUUAUUGUACUCAACCACCAUGUGCAAUGCUCAUGUCAGGGGUCCUCAUUAAGACAUGUAAGUUUCUUGAGGCUGCCUUUAUCAGCAGUCGGGUGGUUUAAUUUGUGUUUAGUUUAAGGCACUGUUGCGUUAAAAAUGAGUGGAAUGGUUUUUCUUUUCUCGCAACUGCAAUGUUCUGUUUUUGCUAUGUGGUGGGGAGAUGCCUCUCUACCUGACUACCUUGGUGGGUUGAGGCUCAAUGUGACAGUGCUGUCUUUUGUAGCACUAGACUGGAGUGAUCUGCGCUCUGUUUUCAUGGCUGUCAGGCACAUUGUUGUAGGUACCUUCUAUGGCCUCAGGAUCUUUCCCCUUUUGCUUUUAAGAAAGGG
ensembl:lncRNA